ensembl:lncRNA
GGGGAUGAGGUUUUCCUUUUUGUUUUGAGAAAGCCUCUGAAAGUUUCCAGAACAAAGGCCUUCUCUGCUCCUCCUGAUUUUGUCAGUGGCAAACAAAACAUUGGGCAGUGGACUGUCACACAGAAAUGAAGGUGGGCAUGGGACUUCUGCGAACUGGAAAGAACCCUGACAACUGCAGAGGUCAAGGCUCAGCCCCCUCCUUCUAUCCUUCGACAGCCAAGACCGCAGAGGCAGCUUAUUAGACCCUUUCCUACUCCAAAAGGAGCUCCUGUUAACUUUUGAAGAAGCAGGGAUGUCACCACUCCCUGGAAGGCGGUGAAAAGUGCAGGGGUUUGCUGAUGUCUGCGCAUUUCAGCAAGAAACAAAGAAUAAAACAGAAGUGUCUGCUUCUGAGAGAGACUCUGGGAGACCCUCGGAGAUGUGCAGCGUUACAGUGGCCCUGUGCAACAUGCAAAGGGGCCACCGGCUCGAUCCCUGGUCCUGGAAGAUCCCACAUGCUGCAGAGCAAAUAAGCCCGUGGACCACGACUACCGAGCCUGCCCAUCACAACAAAGAAUAGCUUCCACUUGCUGCAACUAGAGAAAGCCUGCUCACAGCAAGAGACCAGCACAGCCCCAAAUAAAUAAAUAUAUAUUUUUAAAUGCAAAAAUAUAUAGGGUGAUGUGUAAUGGCAACAUUCACAAGUGAAAGCUCAGGAGUCAGACCUCAGCCAGCACUAGCAGGAGGGGGAAAUGCUGAGAGCAUCCUUAACCUGCAGGGUCCGUCUCAAGGCCACAAUAGGAUGGGGACACAGAUGUGGGAGCGAGGUUUCCACAGAGGAGAAAGAUGGCUAACUCAGCAUGAGACGUGACUUCCUAGGCAGCAGGCAUUUUGCAGAAUAUUCUAGAAGACAUACCUCCUCAACUUUUGUGCCAUGAAGAGUGGAGACAGCUAGAGCCAGAGAGGGGAGCUGGGGGGGAGGUCGACGUGGUCUCAGCAUCCAUCUCUCUGCUGAUGCCAGGGUUGAUCCUGCUGACGUGUGUGGGGACACAUUCCGUGUCUCCACAGUGUUACAACAGAAAUGGAAAAUGGGGUUUUUUUUCUGCUAACAUUCAAGAGAAACAAACGAAAGAGAACAUGGCUCUAAAACCCCCCAAGAACAGGCCUGUAAGAGUGAAGCAAUCCUGGCUUUACUUUAGCUGUUUCUCAUCUAUGGCACACAUAACUAGACUUGUCCUUCACAAAGUUGCUUUGUUAAUCACUCUCUAAUCACUCAGUGAAUUCUGUCCUGCACCUGGCAUUAUUCCCCCUGCCCCACUCCCUCGUAGCAUUUUCAUUUCAGAAAGAAGGCCACAGGCAGAUAACUUUGGAAAGGACCAGCCCCAGUUACCAAUGGCCUAAUGCCAGCUGUAGCCAUUUUGAAAUCUUGCAGAAGAAAGAAGAAUGCAAGCCAUCCCUGCUCUGAGCCUUAUCUCCUACCCCAGAACUAUGAGCCCUGACUAUAAGACCCGUCCCUGUUCUCCAGGGAUGGGGGCACUGUUCCUGAGGCACUAAACUGCUGUGUUCCCUCUUUGCUUGGCAAAGAAUAAAACUAGUCUUUCUCUUUACUCCC